rfam:Fistulina hepatica ATCC 64428 unplaced genomic scaffold FISHEscaffold_254, whole genome shotgun sequence.
GGUUCAGUGGUCUAAUGGUUAUGAUUUCUGUCUCACAUUCUACUAUAGUAGACAGUGCACAGAAGGUUCUGAGUUCGAUCCUCAGCUGAACCA